rnacentral:rRNA from 1 species
GAUGAACGCUGGCGGCGUGCUUAACACAUGCAAGUCGAACGAAGCACUUUACUUGAUCCCUUCGGGGUGAUUGUUCUGUGACUGAGUGGCGGACGGGUGAGUAACGCGUGGGUAACCUGCCUCAUACAGGGGGAUAACAGUUGGAAACGACUGCUAAUACCGCAUAAGCGCACAGCAUCGCAUGAUGCAGUGUGAAAAACUCCGGUGGUAUGAGAUGGACCCGCGUUGGAUUAGCUAGUUGGAGGGGUAACGGCCCACCAAGGCGACGAUCCAUAGCCGACCUGAGAGGGUGACCGGCCACAUUGGGACUGAGACACGGCCCAA